UACGUAGGGUGCUAGCGUUGUUCGGAAUCAUUGGGCGUAAAGCGCGUGUAGGUGGUUAGGUAAGUCGAAUGUGAAAUCCCUGGGCUCAACCGAGGAAGUGCAUACGAAACUACCUAGCUAGAGGACGGUAGAGGAAGGUGGAAUUCCAAGUGUAGAGGUGAAAUUCGUAGAUAUUUGGAGGAAUACCGGUGGCGAAGGCGGCCUUCUGGGCCGUUCCUGACACUGAGACGCGAAAGCGUGGGGAGCAAACAGG
rnacentral:rRNA from 1 species